AGUAAGCCGUAUGGCUGAGAGCAGCUGAUUUCAUGGUGCCAAGAAAAACCUCUAAGGAGAGAGAUUGGGAACCGUACCACAAACCGACACAGGUAGACGAGGAGAAUAUCCAAAGGCGCUCGAGUGAAAGCUUGUUAAGGAACUCGGCAAAUUAGACCCGUAACUUCGGGAGAAGGGUCGCCACUAGGGUGCAAGCCCAAAGUGGCCGCAGUGAAACGCGAACGGCGACUGUUUAACAAAAACACAGGUCUCUGCAAAGUCAAAAACGACGUAUAGGGGCUGACUCCUGCCCGGUGCCGGAAGGUUAAAAGGAGAGGUUAGCCGCAAGGCGAAGCUUUGAAUUGAAGCCCCGGUGAACGGCGGCCGUAACGAUAACGGUCCUAAGGUAGCGAAAUUCCUUGUCGGGUAAGUUCCGACCUGCACGAAUGGAGUAACGAUCGUUCGACUGUCUUAACGAGUUGCUCGGCGAACUUGUAGUACCGGUGAAGAUGCCGGUUACCCGCAGCUAGACGAAAAGACCCCGUGCACCUUUACUAUACUUUUACUAUGAGUUACGGCCAUUGCUGCGCAGGAUAGGUGGGAGGCUUUGAUACCAGACUUUUGGGUUUGGUGGAGCCAACGGUGAGAUACCACCCUGCGAUUGUUGUGAUUCUAACCUCCUCCCGUGAUCCGGGAGAGGGACAUAGUAAGACGGGUAGUUUGACAGGGGCGGUCGCCUCCUAAAUUGUAACGGAGGCGCGCGAAGCUACACUCAGGUCGUUUGGAAAUCGACCGUCGAGUGCAAAGGCAUAAGUGUGGUUAACUGCGAGACCUACAAGUCGAGCAGAUGCGAAAGCAGGCCUUAGUGAUCCGGUGGUUCUGUAUGGAAGGGCCAUCGCUCAACGGAUAAAAGGUACGCCGGGGAUAACAGGCUGAUCGAAGCCAAGAGUUCAUAUCGACGCUUCGGUUUGGCACCUCGAUGUCGGCUCAUCACAUCCUGGAGCUGUAGAAGGUUCCAAGGGUUAGGCUGUUCGCCUAUUAAAGUGGUACGUGAGCUGGGUUCAGAACGUCGCGAGACAGUUCGGUCUCUAUCUGCUGUGGGCGUAGGAGAUUUGAAGAGGGCUGUCCUUAGUACGAGAGGACCGGGAUGGACGAACCUCUUGUGUUCCAGUUGUCCUGCCAAGGGCACGGCUGGGUAGCGAAGUUCGGUUGUGAUAACCGCUGAAUGCAUAUAAGCGGGAAGCACGCUCUAAGAUGAGAUCUCCCAACCCAAAAGGGAAAUGAAGGGCCCAGGAAGACCACCUGGUUGAUAGGCUGGAGGUUGAAGCGCAGUAAUGCGUGUAGCUUACCAGUACUAAUCGCCCGUUCGGCUUGUCC
rnacentral:rRNA from 1 species